rnacentral:rRNA from 1 species
GAUGAACGCUGGCGGCGUGCCUAAUACAUGCAAGUCGAGCGAACAGACGAGGAGCUUGCUCCUCUGACGUUAGCGGCGGACGGGUGAGUAACACGUGGAUAACCUACCUAUAAGACUGGGAUAACUUCGGGAAACCGGAGCUAAUACCGGAUAAUAUAUUGAACCGCAUGGUUCAAUAGUGAAAGACGGUUUUGCUGUCACUUAUAGAUGGAUCCGCGCCGCAUUAGCUAGUUGGUAAGGUAACGGCUUACCAAGGCGACGAUGCGUAGCCGACCUGAGAGGGUGAUCGGCCACACGAGAACUGAGACACGGUCCAGACUCCUACGGGAGGCAGCAGUAGGGAAUCUUCCGCAAUGGGCGAAAGCCUGACGGAGCAACGCCGCGUGAGUGAUGAAGGUCUUCGGAUCGUAAAACUCUGUUAUGAGGGAAGAACAAAUGUGUAAGUAACUAUGCACGUCUUGACGGUACCUAAUCAGAAAGCCACGGCUAACUACGUG